rnacentral:rRNA from 1 species
UAAUGGCUUACCAAGGCGAAGAUCGGUAUCCGGCCUGAGAGGGCGCACGGACACACUGGAACUGAAACACGGUCCAGACUCCUACGGGAGGCAGCAGUGGGGAAUUUUGCGCAAUGGGGGAAACCCUGACGCAGCAACGCCGCGUGGAGGAUGAAGCCCCUUGGGGUGUAAACUCCUUUCGACCGGGAAAAUAAUGAUGGUACCGGUGGAAGAAGCACCGGCUAACUCUGUGCCAGCAGCCGCGGUAAUACAGAGGGUGCGAGCGUUGUUCGGAAUUAUUGGGCGUAAAGGGCGCGUAGGCGGUGUGGUAAGUCACCUGUGAAACCUCUAGGCUUAACCUAGAGCCUGCAGGCGAAACUGCCGUGCUGGAGUAUGGGAGAGGUGCGUGGAAUUCCCGGUGUAGCGGUGAAAUG